rnacentral:rRNA from 1 species
GAUGAACGCUGACAGAAUGCUUAACACAUGCAAGUCGAUGGGGAAGUGGUGCUUGCCCCAUGGCAACCAUGGCGGACGGGUGAGUAACGCGUAAGGGACUUACCUGCAGGACUGGGAUAACAGGGGGAAACUCCUGACAAGACCGGAUAAUGUCAUGGAGCUGCAUGGCUUUAUGAUGAAAGGAGACGCCUGCGGAGAGCCUUGCGUCCUAUUAGCUAGUUGGUGAGGUAAUGGCUCACCAAGGCGAAGAUAGGUAGCCGGCCUGAGAGGGUGGACGGCCACAAGGGGACUGAGAUACGGCCCUUACUCCUACGGGAGGCAGCAGUGAGGAAUAUUGGACAAUGGGGGCAACCCUGAUCCAGCAAUUCUGUGUGCACGAAGAAGGUUUUCGGAUUGUAAAGUGCUUUCAGAAGGGAAGAAGUAAGUGACGGUACCUGCAGAAGAAGCGACGGCUAAAUACGUG